rnacentral:rRNA from 1 species
GAUGAACGCUGGCGGCGUGCCUAAUACAUGCAAGUCGAGCGAAGCGGGGACGGGUGAGUAACACGUGGAUAACCUCCUAUAAGACUGGGAUAACUUCGGGAAACGGGAGCUAAACCGGACAAUUAUACAUGGAGCCGCGCUGGAUUAGCUAGUGGGUAAGGUAACGGCUUACCAAGGCAACGAUGCAUAGCGGACCUGAGAGGAUGAUCGGCCACACUGGAACUGAGACACGGUCCAGACUCCUACGGGAGGCAGCAGUGGGGAAUCUUCCGCAAUGGGCGAAAGCCUGACGGAGCAACGCCGCGUGAGUGAUGAAGGUCUUCGGAUCGUAAAGCUCUGUUAUUAGGGAAGCGGUACCUAAUCAGAAAGCCACGGCUAACUACGUGCCAGCCGCCGCGGUAAUUC